rnacentral:tRNA from 1 species
AUUUAAAUAGCUUAUAAAUAAGAGUGUAAUAUUGAAGAUAUUAAGGAAACAUAAAUGUUUUUAAAUA